GACGAACGCUGGCGGCGUGCCUAAUACAUGCAAGUAGAACGCACAGUUUAUACCGUAGCUUGCUACACCAUAAACUGUGAGUUGCGAACGGGUGAGUAACGCGUAGGUAACCUGCCUGGUAGCGGGGGAUAACUAUUGGAAACGAUAGCUAAUACCGCAUAAUAUUGAUUAUUGCAUGAUAAUUGAUUGAAAGAUGCUAUUGCAUCACUACCAGAUGGACCUGCGUUGUAUUAGCUAGUAGGUGAGGUAACGGCUCACCUAGGCGACGAUACAUAGCCGACCUGAGAGGGUGAUCGGCCACACUGGGACUGAGACACGGCCCAGACGCCUACGGGAGGCAGCAGUAGGGAAUCUUCGGCAAUGGACGAAAGUCUGACCGAGCAACGCCGCGUGAGUGAAGAAGGUUUUCGGAUCGUAAAGCCCUGUUGUAAGAGAAGAACGGGUGUGAGAGUGGAAAGUUCACACUGUGACGGUAUCUUACCAGAAAGAGACGGCUAACUACGUG
rnacentral:rRNA from 1 species